GGAGCGAUUUGUCUGGUUAAUUCCGAUAACGAACGAGACUCUAGCCUGCUAAAUAGUUAGAGGAUCUUAGCAGCCAGCGUCGGUCGUCUGCCUUCGGGUAGUCAGCUGGCGCUCGGUAACGCGAGUCCUCGUCAACUUCUUAGAGGGACAGGUGGCGCAUAGUCACACGAGAUUGAGCAAUAACAGGUCUGUGAUGCCCUUAGAUGUCUGGGGCCGCACAUGCGCUACAAUGGAUGGUUCAGCGGGUCUCCCGGUCCGAAAGGAUUAGGUAACCCUGAAACCCAUUCGUAGUUGGGAUUGGGGAUUGCAAUUGUUCCCCAUGAACCUGGAAUUCCCAGUAGGCGCGAGUCAUCAGCUCGCACCGAUUACGUCCCUGCCCUUUGUACACACCGCCCGUCGCUAA
rnacentral:rRNA from 1 species